CUCUCCGCGCCUUCGCCCCGCGCGCCCAGCUCACUCGCUCCCGCGGCGCCUGCUGCGGCCUCUCCUCCUCCUCCUUCGCCUCCUCCUCUUCCUCCGAUUUCCUCUCCUCCUCUUCCUCCUUCUCCUCUUUCCCCACCUCCUCCCCUUCAGCCUCCUCCUCCUCCUCCUCCUCCUCCUCCUCCUCCUCCUCCUCCUCCUCCUCCACCACCACCACCACCACCAGCACCACCACCUCCACCUCCACCUCCACCUCCUCCGCUCCCUCCGGGGCGCCCCGGUGCCUGCCGAGUCCCGGGCGGGCGCCGCCGCAGCUACAGCCCCCUGGAUCCCGAGCCUGCUGCGCCCGCGCUGGGAGGACAGACGGACAGACCGAUACGCAGACUCCUGGCGCCCUACGGCCCUCGGCGGCCCUGUGUCGGGGGGAUCUAGGAUCGCCCGGGAGCACCGCGAGGAGCAGGUACGAGACGGGGCGAAGGAAGGCAGGCCACGCCCACAUGCCGGGUCUGCCCAGCCGCACGGAUGAGGCAAGGGGCAACACACGAGGUCUUCAACCAGUUCGUGGAGAGCGUUGUGAAUAAACUAUGUAUGGGUUUCAAUAAUUUCUGCAUCAAAAUAAAUUUGUUCUAACAGGUCUGACCAGGAGGUAGGUGGAGGCACCAAGAAAGGGAAGGCACCCGUUUGCAAUGAGCCCUUACUACGGUAUCAUGAAUUCGGCUAAAAUCGAAGCAAGAACCAACAUCAAAUUUAUGGUAAAGCUUGGGUGGAAGAAUGGCAAAAUCAUCGAAGCUUUGCAAGUAGUCUAUGGGGACAGCGCCCCGAAGAAGUCAGCAGUGUACAAGUGGGUAACGCGCUUUAAGAAGGGGAGAGACGACGUGGAAGACGAAGCCCGCAGCGGCAGACCAUCCACGUCAAUUUGCGAGGAGAAAAUCCGUCUCGUCCGGGCCCUCAUCGAAGAGGACCGCCGGCUGACCGCAGAAGCCAUAGCCAACACCAUCGACAUCUCCAUCGGCUCGGCCUACACGAUCCUCACGGAAAAGCUCAAGCUGAGCAAACUGUCUGCGCAGUGGGUGCCCAGGCUGCUGCACCCGGACCAGCUGAAGGCAAAGGCAGAGCUUCCCGUGGGAAUCCUAAACAAGUGGGACCAAGACCCUGGGCUGUAACAGGAGCUGAGACGCGGCCUUCCCAGGACGAUCCUGUACACGGAGCAUCAUCAAAACAAUGGCUACCCGGAGGCGGAAGUGGCCCAGCCAAAGCCAGAGCAGACUGGUCAAGGAGAGACGUUACGGCGGCAGACCCCGGGGAUGCUGGAGGCCUUUUGCUCGUGGACAUCUGCUUCUUAAGAGAGUGUGUGGGGAGAGCCACGCUGCAGCAGGAACACACCCAGGAAGUGCAGCGGGGCGUCCUUCCCCUCGUGACAAUGCUCCUGCUCUCUCCUCUCUCAAACAAGGGCAAACAGAGCGGGGGUGGGGGGAGGGGUUCAAAGAGAAAUCACUGGGCAUCCACCCGACAGCCCCGAUGCGGCUCCUUUGGGUUCUUUCUGUUUCCUGACCUUAACAACUCUUUAAAGGGCACUGUGUUUCUUCUGCCAAUGAUGCCAAAAGGACUUAUCGACCUCAGGUCCUUGGGGAUGGACUCAAUGGCUGCUUACCAGUGUGUCUUGAACUUAAGGGGCCUAUGUAGGGAAAUUUGAAUCUUUUAGUUUUGUCUUUCAAUUCCAUUUUCCCACAGCCUUUUUGAAGUCCCCUCCUAUUUCUGACACCUUAGCUUUGCCUUUCGAAGACCUGCUGUGUAGCAGCCAUUGUGUUAAACAUGACAUUAGGACCAUCUUUCUCAGCCUCAUAACAGCCUACAUAGCAGGUACUCUGGUUUUCUCUGUUUUUGAAGAUUUAUUUAUUGAAAGGCAGAGUUACAGAGACAAAAGAAGAGAGAGAGAGAAGGAGAGAGAGAGAAGAAGAGAGAGAGAGAGAGAAAAGAGAGAGAGACAAUGAAGCUUCCACCCACUGGUUCACUGCCCAAAUGUCUGCAACGGCCAGGGCUGGGUCAGAUUGAAGCUAGGAGCCUGGAACUCCAUCCAGGUCUCCCACAUGAAUGGCAGGAGCCCAAGGACUUGGGCCAUCUUCCGCUACUUUCCCAGGUGCAUUAGCAGGGAGCUGGAUUGGAAGUGGAGGGGCCAGGACUUGAACCAGUGCUCAUGUGGGAUGCUGGCACCACAGGUGGCUGCUUAACCUGCUGUGCCACUCCGCCAGCCUCUGGCAGGUAAUGUUCUUAAAACCACUUCAAAGAUGAGGGCACCGAGGCUUAGAGAGGGUAAGGACCCUUGCCAAGGACACCAGCCAUGCAGAAGAAGAACUGGGGUGAAGACCCCGGCGGGCUGCUUCCAGUGCAGGCCUAGUGCCUACUCCUGGGCACCUCCCUUCCCUGGGCGGGGGAGCUCCUGGGAAGCCAGGGACACUGGUGCUGAGUGAGUUAGAAACAUGGCAGGCCAUUGGAUGAUAUGGGUGACAUGAACCACAGAACCACUGGGGUUCAAUGACUUGAUACACACAUGCCUGUCUCCCCUGGAUGGACAGACCUUCUUCAUGGUCCAAGGGCUUGAAUUCUUGCCCAGCAUCCCUCUCCUUCCCUUGGGGACAGCCAAGGACACACUGCUUGCUUGGCUUUGCUAUGUCUUGCUAAGAAAAAGCAGCAUCUUGUCUGUUUCCUAGGCCUUCUGGGAUGUCCACACACACACACAUAUGUGAUCAUGUAUGAUUACACAGCCUCACACCCCACAACAUGCUCACCCUCGAACAAAGGCACACCACCAUGCACAGCGUGCACACAUACACACACUCACACACACACCACACACACACACACCUGCCCGCAUUCCUGUGGGCGUCUGCUAAGACUGUGAUCAGGCGAGACAAAGUCUCUGCCACUCUCCGCUUUGCACCUGUGGUAUUUGCUUCUGUGUUUACCUCUCGCAAGACGAGUUUGUUUCGCUAAAGUCACUGUGGCCCAGAAAUUCUUUCUACUUUUAAAGCCCAACACGCAGCACUGCCUGACCCCUUCCCUUGACACCCGAAACAGACAGGAAGAGGCCUCAAAAGUCCAGAGGAUCGAUGGUCUCUAUUUUCAAAAUGCUCCCUCCGUGGUUGGAUACUUCUGCACCCAGUUUUCAUUCAUCUCAGGGGUUGGGGCCUGCCGUCUGCUUUUGUGUGGGAAAAACCUCUCCUAACCAGUCACUGUUUACCUGGUUCGGGGCCUAGCCUUUGCUGUCUGCUCCUGCAUGAAUCUGAUGCCCACCACAUGCUGGUCCCGUGCCACUGGCUGGCGUCCCCUCGGACAACGUCCACUAAGAGGGCUUCUGCUGUCCUGGUCUUCAAAAACUGCAAGUGCUGUUGACCCAGGGUCAAGUGCAGUCUUGGGGACACCGACUAUCAACACCCAAGUAAGCCAAGGAGACCUAGAGGCCCAGGUACUGUGUACUGGAGGAGUCCAAGAGAGGGCAGAGUGCGGGAGCUGGAGUGGGUGUGGAAGGCUUCCUGGAGGAGGUGAGGUUCCUCAUGGGCUUUUGUUGUGGGUGGAAUUAUAUCCUCCUCCAAGUUCAGAUAUUCAAGUCCUAACGUCCAGUACCUAAGAAAGCAACCUUAUUUGGAAAUAGGGUCACAGCUGGUAUAACUAGCUAAGUGGAGGUAGGUUGGAAUAGGGUAGGCUCCUGGUCCAAGAUGACUGACAUCUCUAUAAACAGGGGAAAUUCUAAGACAGACGUGUGCACAGGGAGAGCGCCACGUGGAGACGGAGGCAGAGAUGCGGUGCUGCUUCUGCAAGCCCAUGCCGGAGAAGGCCAGCACCACCGGGAGCCGGGAGAGGCCUGGGGCCGAGUCCCCUGCAGGAGGAGUUGGAUGGGACGAAACUUAGAAGGAAGCAACCCCAGACAUUGACCUUUGACCUUCAGCCUCCUGAACGGGAGACGAUUACCAUCUGUGGUUUGAGCCCCGGGCCCUGGCCCUUGGUUACAGCAGCCCUAGCGAGCUGCUGGAGGCUGCACGGACAGGAAGCGGUGUGUGCUACACAGAGAAAGCAACGUGGCCACCAGCUGCCCCACCAUAGGCCCUGACAACCCACUCCUGCUCCCACCUCCAUCAUCUCCACGCUGCCGGAGGAGAAAAGGCCUGGGGGCCAGGGUGGAGAGGUGGGGGCCAGGUGGGCCUGGGCUGUCUGGUUGCAGAUGGCCCCCGUGGCCAGGAGCAGCUGAAGAACACUUGGCGGCAUCCCUGCUGCCUCCCCAGCAGGGGGUAGGACUCUGCACCGAUGGGCAGGGCUGCCCUAGCUAGCACACACCUGGCUGGGAGUCGCAGGAAAACAGUGUUUGUGCGGCUCUGCACUGAAGGGCACUGGAUCCACGCAAAGCUCAUCAGUGAGACACAAGGGGCUUGGCUCGAGCCACAGGAUCUGGUGUCUGCUGUGAGUCCUUCCCCCGGGCUCCGGCCUGGGUUGAGACAGGAGAACGGCUGUCCCCUUAACAUCUGUGGAUGUGACCCUUUCAGAAGCAGGGUCUCUGCCGAAGUGACCACCUGGUGACAGCGGCUCAAAUCCACUGACUGCUGUCCUUACGAGACAAGGGGCAUUUGACACAGACACACGAAGAGCAAGCAGGUGGCCGCACAAAGACAGAGGCACCCCCAGGGAGAAGGCAGCAGGAGCGUGGAGGCCAAGAAGGCCCGGGUGCAGUGGCCAGCCCAGAAAGGCCACCCCACCAGAAACAGAGAGGUGAGCAAGGUCCCUGUACAGGCAGCACGACCCCGCGGGCACCUGGACUUCAGACCUAGGACCUGCACCGCCGCGAGAGAACAGGGGCCUGAUGUUUGCAGCCCGCAGUUGGUGGCAUCUUCUUAGGCAGCUGCAAGAGAUGGAGAUGGGCAACUCCUCCCCAACCUGCCAUGGCAGAGCGCAGCCCCGUCUCUCCCCAUCACCCAUUGCUGCAAGGUGUUCUUGCAGAAAUCUUGAUCCAGGACAUACAUCCAUGAAGAGCGAAGCUGCUGGCCAGGGCAGACACAACUCCCAAGGUCUCACCCCCCUUGGAGUGCGGGAGUGGCUGCUCCCAGCUGGUUGGAAGCCAGCGGGGCCAGGAAAAGGCUGAUGCCGGCACUGAGAAAGUGGAUGACCCACAGUCCUGACUGCCACACCCGGGCCCCCAGCCGCCCCUGGCUCUGCACCCCCCACCCCCUAGCCGCCCCCUCUCUCCUUCCUGGCCACACUUGCUGCCUUCUGGUCCUUCCCAACUGUUCUCCAUGUACCUGACACAUGUCCCUCCGUCUGGAGUCAUGCCCCACCCCAGGCUGCCACCUAUCGCCACCUGCUGGCUCCUUCUUACCUCUCAGAUGGCAGCCUGGACUGCCCCUCCAGGAGGCCUCACUGCUCACCUGGUGCAGGGCGUUCCUGGGGCUCUGCUGAGCUGCUUGGCAGCAUGCUAGAAUACAAGGCUGACCGCACUGCGAGUCUGCUCGCUCGUCUGUGGCCCUGAUCCCCGGUGGCCAGCGACUCCAUGAGACCGCAGUCCUUGGGUCUCAAGGACAUUGGAGAACUAUGUGGCUGAACAAACAGUGUCUUUACUGCAGAACACCUCGCAGCCUGUAGUGCACGGCACCUAGGACACAGCUGAUGCUCAGUGAAGAUUUGCUGAGAAACCAUUGGUGGGUGAAUCCCAAAGGCCUCCAGGCCCCGGCUGGCUGACUGUGGACACCGAGCCAGAAUGCCACUGGUUCCUGUAAAAGUGAGUGUAAGAGACAAGUCUCAGGGGUACAAAGCAGAGGCCUGGACUGCUGGGCCUGAAGCAGGCAGGCCAAAGGACAGCCUCAGCCUCACCUUUACCCAAGGGACAUCCCUGGGUCCCUGCGUGACAGACCUCGCUAGAGGAGGCCGCCACUCCGCCUGCGCUGGCUUGCCGCUGUGUGGGGUAGGGACAUGGAGGAAGGACCCGCUGUGUUGCAUACUGAACAUGGUAGAAGGAAUUGAAGCAAACAAAAGGAUACGCUGUGCAAAGUGUGUCUUCCUCGCCACUGGUACCCCAGGCUCCCUGUGAUCUGCCUCUGGCAACUGUGUCCCACUGUCACGUGUGUCCUGGAGAUGCUUGUGUGGACAUAAAGCAUGUACAUUAAGAGAACUCUUUGUUCCAUGUGAGCAUGUUAUACAUACCCUUCUGCACCCUGUUCUUGCUCUUGUUCGCUUGUUUUGCCUUUGAACCUAGCUGGGAGGUUCAUCUGUGUCCACCCACCCCACUCCUUUUUUUUUUUUUUAAGAUUUAUUUUAUUUAUUUGAAAGACAGAGUUAUAGAGAGAGGUAGAGACAGAGAGAGAGGUCUUCCAUCUGCUGGUUCACUCCCCAGAUGGCCACAAUGGCCAGAGCUGCGCCGAUCCGAAGGCGGGAACCCGGAGCUUCUUCCAGGUCUCCCACAUGGGUGCAGGGGCCCAAGGACUGGGCCAUCUUCUACCACUUUCCCAGGCCAUAGCAGAGCUGGAUCGGAAGAGGAGCAGCCGGGACUAGAACCGGCGCCGGUUGCUGGCGCUUCAGGCCAGGGCUUUAACCCGCUGCAUCACAGCACCGGCCCCCACCUCACUCCUUAUCUGGACCAUCUGCUGGUGUUCUGUUCUAGUCAAUGACACCACCCCCUCACGAAGCGGGCUCCUGGGGUACCCCCUGGCUCUCGAAGCAAAGGGUCCCUUGCACAUUUGUCACACAUGGAGGAGCGUGUCAGAGAAACAUUUGUAAGUGGAGGUGCCAGGCUAAGGGCCAUGUGUCCUGUAGCGUCCAUGACAUGGUGCCUGUGUGCCUCUCGAGGAGGCGCUGCCACUUUGCUCUCUCACCCAGGAUGGACUCCACAGAGAACCCGGGUCCCUGCCUGCCGGCCCACGGUGUGCCUUCAACCCCAAACCAGCCUGGUUUGGGCUGGUGUCUACUCCUCCCACAGACCACCUCGGUCCCUCUCUGGAGUCCAGCUCCCUGUGGCCCUGUGACCCUUGAAAUCCUGAAAUCCCUGAUUCCACCUGCAGCUUUGUCUUUCCUUACCCCAGGGCUGGCUCAGAGCG